rnacentral:rRNA from 1 species
UACAGAGGGGGCAAGCGUUGUUCGGAAUUACUGGGCGUAAAGGGCGCGUAGGCGGCCUUCUAAGUCGAACGUGAAAUCCCUGGGCUCAACCCAGGAACUGCGUCCGAUACUGGAAGGCUUGAAUCCGGGAGAGGGAUGCGGAAUUCCAGGUGUAGCGGUGAAAUGCGUAGAUAUCUGGAGGAACACCGGUGGCGAAGGCGGCUCACUGGCCCGGUACUGACGCUGAGGUGCGAAAGCGUGGGGAGCAAACAGG